CCUACGGGGUGCUGCAGUGGGGAAUAUUGUGCAAUGGGCGCAAGCCUGACCCAGCAACGCCGCGUGAAGGAAGAAGGCUUUCGGGUUGUAAACUUCUUUUCUCAGGGACGAAGCAAGUGACGGUACCUUAGGAAUAAGCCACGGCUAACUACGUGCCAGCAGCCGCGGAAAUACGUAGUUGGCAAGCGUUAUCCGGAUUUACUGGGGGUAACGGGCGUGUAGGCGGGAAAGCAAGUCAGAUGUGAAAACCAUGGGCUCAACCUGUGGCCUGCAUUUGAAACUGUUUUUCUUGAGUACUGGAGAGGCAGACGGAAUUCCUAGUGUAGCGUUGAAAUGCGUAGAUAUUAGGAGGAACACCAGUGGCGAAGGCGGUCUGCUGGACAGCAACUGACGCUGAGGCGCGAAAGCGUGGGGAGCAAACAGGAUUAGAUACCCUUGUAGUC
rnacentral:rRNA from 1 species